GCCGGUCAUAACAGACUCUGCUUUGGUGAUUUCAGAUCCUGAAGCAAGAGCACAAGGAGGAGGCCACCAGCACCACAGGUCCGGAUCAGGCCAGAUCUACAUCGAUUACAGGCCAGAUUAAUAAAUCUCAGGAGUUGGUAAGAGCAAUUAUUGGUUUGGUAAGAGAAGCAAGAGCGAUGCUAACCAGCCAGAAGGUGUGUACGCAAGUCUAAAGGGCAUGAGGAUUGCAAGAGCUUCUGCCGGUUCUUGUUGGCUUCAACAACGAGACUAGUGUUCCCCAAAUCUGGCCGGAUCUUCAUCGAUUACAAGCCAGACCACUAGGUGGUUGUUCUUUGGUUCUGUCCAAAAAGGAAUAACAAGGACAUCUCCAGCAACUUGUCAUCAACAACAAGUUAGUACACUCUCGGUCAUACCUGGGCUCCAGGAGAGUCCAGGAUCUGUACGAUUAAGCUUCAAUUACCACAAGACCAGCCGAGCACCAGGUCUCUUUGUUUUUCUGCGAGGAUCUGGGAAACUAUUCUGAUGGUACCAGACUCAGACCUGCAUAAGGAGAUCAGCAAGACCGAUUGGAUCUAGGCAGACGGGGUCGUAUUUCUAUUUUCAGUUAUCUACUCCACUAAUAUUCCUGAGACGAGCCAGUUUUGUUUUCAGACUUGUAUUCGCCUGAGCUAGCUGUGAACUAUGUACGAUUUCACACAUUUUAGCUGUGGCUGUUAAACAGAAGAAUUAUUUUGUGAUUCAUUUACUUUCCAAAGAAUUGGCUUGCGAUGCAUUAAUGCCUAGCUAUUCAAUUUCAUCGUCAUAUGACUACUGUCUUCAGUCGUUGCUUUUGUAUCUCAGUUGAAGUGAUAUUGCUCAGCGCAGUGUCUGUGUUCCGUUUUAUAUGUAAUUAUGUUCCAUGUGAGCGUGCGGCCUAUGUCUGCCUCUCUACUGGCUGCCGUCGAGAGGGAGAAGGCCCGCCCCUGACAUUGUCCUCUGACAUGCCUGUUAUUCGCAGCUUCCAUCGGCCAAAUGUAGGUGCACAUCUAAGCUAGCUGUACAGUAUGCCAAGGCAGUAAUAAGUACACAUCUUGUAUUUUAGCUUCUUCCUGUUUCUGGUCUAUUCCCAGAUUCGUGUAAGAAAAAGAAGCCUCUACGGCAAAAAGAUGAAGAACUGAAGUGCAUGAUCAAGAUGAAGACUGAGCAUGAGAAAAGUGCAUUUCCCCUCUUUACAACUAACUGCAGAGAGGCUUUUUGCAAACUUCUCCGCGUGAUGAAUCUUCAUCUAGUGAGUUCAUUUUGGUGUAGGGAUUGGCAUGCAGCAGUGGAUGGAAAUUCUUGAUGCAGGAUUCCCCUUGGAAAGCUUAUUAGUAUGUUUCCCAUACCAGUACCAUACAAUGCUACCCUGUAAAUACUUGCUAUACCUCUGUGCAGGUGUUGAAGGUGCACAGGCAGUUGAGUGGAAAUGUUGGCAGCCCAUUUUGUAGUACGUUGCCUCUGCAUUUUCUCAAAACAUCUACAGUAUGCUUGCUUGUUUACUGUAUUUCUAUAUGUGGG
rnacentral:rRNA from 1 species